rnacentral:rRNA from 1 species
GAUGAACGCUGGCGGCGUGCCUAAUACAUGCAAGUCGAGCGAACAGACGAGGAGCUUGCUCCUCUGACGUUAGCGGCGGACGGGUGAGUAACACGUGGAUAACCUACCUAUAAGACUGGGAUAACUUCGGGAAACCGGAGCUAAUACCGGAUAAUAUAUUGAACCGCAUGGUUCAAUAGUGAAAGACGGUUUUGCUGUCACUUAUAGAUGGAUCCGCGCCGCAUUAGCUAGUUGGUAAGGUAACGGCUUACCAAGGCAACGAUGCGUAGCCGACCUGAGAGGGUGAUCGGCCACACUGGAACUGAGACACGGUCCAGACUCCUACGGGAGGCAGCAGUAGGGAAUCUUCCGCAAUGGGCGAAAGCCUGACGGAGCAACGCCGCGUGAGUGAUGAAGGUCUUCGGAUCGUAAAACUCUGUUAUUAGGGAAGAACAAAUGUGUAAGUAACUAUGCACGUCUUGACGGUACCUAAUCAGAAAGCCACGGCUAACUACGUGCCAGCAGCCGCGGUAAUACGUAGGUGGCAAGCGUUAUCCGGAAUUAUUGGGCGUAAAGCGCGCGUAGGCGGUUUUUUAAGUCUGAUGUGAAGGCCCACGGCUCAACCGUGGAGGGUCAUUGGAAACUGGAAAACUUGAGUGCAGAAGAGGAAAGUGGAAUUCCAUGUGUAGCGGUGAAAUGCGCAGAGAUAUGGAGGAACACCAGUGGCGAAGGCGACUUUCUGGUCUGUAACUGACGCUGAUGUGCGAAAGCGUGGGGAUCAAACAGG